UAGAGUUUGAUCCUGGCUCAGAUUGAACGCUGGCGGAAUGCUUUACACAUGCAAGUCGAACGGCAGCGCGGGAGCUUGCUCCUGGUGGCGAGUGGCGAACGGGUGAGUAACAUAUCGGAACGUAUCCAAUAAUGGGGGAUAACUAAUCGAAAGGUUGGCUAAUACCGCAUACGUCCUACGGGAGAAAGCAGGGGACCUUCGGGCCUUGCGUUAAUGGAGCGGCCGAUAUCUGAUUAGCUAGUUGGUGGGGUAAAGGCUCACCAAGGCGACGAUCAGUAGCUGGUCUGAGAGGACGACCAGCCACACUGGAACUGAGACACGGUCCAGACUCCUACGGGAGGCAGCAGUGGGGAAUUUUGGACAAUGGGCGCAAGCCUGAUCCAGCCAUUCCGCGUGAGUGAAGAAGGCCUUCGGGUUGUAAAGCUCUUUCGCAAGGGAAGAAACGAUAGUGACGAAUAAUCACUGUUAAUGACGGUACCUUGAUAAGAAGCACCGGCUAACUACGUGCCAGCAGCCGCGGUAAUACGUAGGGUGCGAGCGUUAAUCGGAAUUACUGGGCGUAAAGCGUGCGCAGGCGGUUCGACAAGUCAGAUGUGAAAUCCCCGGGCUCAACCUGGGAACUGCGUUUGAAACUAUCGAGCUAGAAUAGGUCAGAGGGGGGUAGAAUUCCACGUGUAGCAGUGAAAUGCGUAGAGAUGUGGAGGAAUAUCAAUGGCGAAGGCAGCCCCCUGGGAUCAUAUUGACGCUCAUGCACGAAAGCGUGGGGAGCAAACAGGAUUAGAUACCCUGGUAGUCCACGCCCUAAACGAUGUCAACUAGUUGUUGGUAGAGUAAAAUCUAUGAGUAACGCAGCUAACGCGUGAAGUUGACCGCCUGGGGAGUACGAUCGCAAGAUUAAAACUCAAAGGAAUUGACGG
rnacentral:rRNA from 1 species